GAUCCACCUGGGGAGUCUGUCCGCAAGGUUGUAACUCAAAGGAAUUGACGGGGGCUCCGCACAAGCGGAGGUAACACGUGGUUUAAUUCGAUGAUACGCGAGGAACCUUACCUGGUGCUUAUAUGUAGAACGUCGGACCGGGUAACUGGUCUUUCUUCGGACGGUCUGCAAGGUGCUGCAUGUCUGUCGUCAGCUCGUUCUGUGAGGUGUCGGGUUAAGUCCCAUAACGAGCGCAACCUUCAUCAUUAGUUGCUAGCGUCUAAUGCCGGGGACUCUAAUGAAACUGCCGUGUCUCUACCGAGAGGAAGGUGGGGAUGACGUCAAGUCAGCACGGCCAUUAUGUCCAGGGCUACACACGUGAUACAAUGGUCGGUACAAAGGGCAGCUACCUGGCGACAGGAUGCUAAUCUCGAAAACCGAUCUCAGUUCGGAUCGAAGUCUGCAACUCGACUUCGUGAAGCUGGAUUCGCUAGUAGUCGCGCAUCACCCAUGGCGCGCUGAUACGUCCACGGCCAUNGACACACCGCCCGUCAAGCCAUG
rnacentral:rRNA from 1 species